CUUAAUUUGACUCAACACGGGGAAACUCACCAGGUCCAGACACAAUAAGGAUUGACAGAUUGAGAGCUCUUUCUUGAUUUUGUGGGUGGUGGUGCAUGGCCGUUCUUAGUUGGUGGAGUGAUUUGUCUGCUUAAUUGCGAUAACGAACGAGACUUUGACUUUUAAAUAGCUAGGCUAGCUUUGGCUGGUCGCCGGCUUCUUAGAAGGACUAUUUGCUCAAGCAAAUGGAAGUGCGAAGCAAUAA
rnacentral:rRNA from 1 species